rfam:Lasius niger Lnig_2.1_40623, whole genome shotgun sequence.
AAAACGGCCCUUUUCAGGGCCACCAAAAAAUAUAUAUCCAGAACAU